GUAGUCUGCAACCCGACUACAUGAAGCUGGAAUCGCUAGUAAUCGCGGAUCAGAAUGCCGCGGUGAAUACGUUCCCGGGUCUUGUACACACCGCCCGUCACACCAUGGGAGGUCGGAAAUGCCCGAAGUCUGUGACCCAACCUACGGGAGGGAGCAGCCGAAGGCAGGUCGGAUGACUGGGGGUGAAGUCGUAACAAGGUAUC
rnacentral:rRNA from 1 species